rnacentral:tRNA from 5 species
GCCCAGGUGGCGGAAUGGUAGACGCUGGGGACUUAAAAUCCCUUGUCCGAAAGGACGUGCGGGUUCGAGUCCCGCCUUGGGCA